CACGGGGGUUGGAGGGCAAGUCUGGUGCCAGCAGCCGCGGUAAUUCCAGCUCCAAUAGCGUAUAUUAAAGUUGUUGCAGUUAAAAAGCUCGUAGUUGAAUUUCGGGAUCAAUAUUUCGGUCAUGCCGUUGGUAUGCACUGUUAUCAUUGAUUUCUCACCUUCUAAAGAACCGUAAUGCCAUUAAUUUGGUGUUACGGGGAAUUAGGACUGUUACCUUGAAAAAAUUAGAGUGUUUAAAGCAGGCUCACGCUUGAAUACAUUAGCAUGGAAUAAUGAAAUAGGACAUCCGAUUCUAUUUUGUUGGUUUCUAGGAUCGAUGUAAUGAUUAAUAGGGAUAGUUGGGGGCAUUAGUAUUCAAUUGUCAGAGGUGAAAUUCUUGGAUUUAUUGAAGACUAACUACUGCGAAAGCAUUUGCCAAGGAUGUUUUCAUUAAUCAAGAACGAAAGUUAGGGGAUCGAAGACGAUCAGAUACCGUCGUAGUCUAACCAUAAACUAUGCCGACUA
rnacentral:rRNA from 1 species